AAAAACAUGACGGCUAUGAUAAAAUCCUAUAUUACACGAGAUUUAGCUUUGAUGUAUGUUCCAUCAAAGCUAGGUAGGGGAGAAAACAGUAAAUUGAUAUUUAAAGAUACCGCUUUUUAUAAAUGCUUACAAGAAGUAAUGCGGAAAUUUUUUAAAAACGACUCGGGAAACGAAUUAAGUGACAAGGACAUUUUGAACUCCAUGGCUGCUACCAUCCGGAAUGCUCGUGACUGGGGCGGAGGCCGGUUGCAGAGGAUACAAAAGUCUCAAGAACUUAAUAAAACAACAUAAUUUAACCAAUAUGAUAUUAAAGUUACAAUGUCCUAAUACUAAACGUUCCGCAUACGAAGGAAUGCGGGGAUGAGGGAACAAUGUAAUCGUUAACAGAUGCUGUGUAUUUGAUUGUUUUCAAAUUAUUUUUUAAUAUAAUUAAACCUUCUAAUUCAUUACUUUCAUCAUACAAUUUUGGAAUUAAUAUUUUGUAUUUUCUUUAAAUAAUAUUUGUAAGAUCAUUUAAGAUUUUAUAAAAAAUAAACUUCCGUCGGUCACCAUAUCAAACCAACAUAUCAAUAUCAAAACAACAUAUCUAUAAUUAACACAUGAUUAAUAUAAUUAUUAUAAUUAUUAUAACACACAACAUAUUAAAACAUAACGCAAUUGAUUUUGACGAUCGGAUGGCGCAGUCUUUACAGCUGUCUAAUGCGCCAGCUCUCGUGAUACUUGAUUGAAUUUUGCUCAUGACAAAUAUUUGUACAGAUAAUACUCGGCUAUGGUCAGAUAUUUGUAAUUAUUUUUAAACACAUGACAUUUCGGCGACGUUGUUUGUUGACACAGCUGGCUCGACCAGGGCAGUAUCACAUACUAACAGAGUGACUUUGUGAAGAAGCGAUUAUUUUAGAAUAAGUAAGAAAGCUGGAAGUUAACAUUCCCAAAAAAUAAAUAAAUACUUAAAUAAA